rnacentral:rRNA from 1 species
CUACCCCAGAGUCUGGAAUAACCUGCCGAAAGGCGGGCUAAUACUGGAUAGAGCGAUGAAAUCCGUAAUUGGGUUUUUCGGGAAAGGGAGGAAGCAAUUCCCUUCGCUCUGGGAUGAGUCUACGUCUCAUUAGCUAGUUGGUGGGGUAAUGGCUCACCAAGGCUUUGAUGGGUAGCUGGUCUGAGAGGAUGAUCAGCCACACUGGAACUGAAACACGGUCCAG